GUUAUUUACCCAGUCAGAUAUAGAGGAGUUAUUUACCCAGUCAGAUAUAGAGGAGUUAUUUACCCAGUCAGAUAUAGAGGAGUUAUUUACCCAGUCAGAUAUAGAGGGGUUAUUUACCCAGUCAGAUAUAGAGGAGUUAUUUACCCAGUCAGAUAUAGAGGAGUUAUUUACCCAGUCAGAUAUAGAGGGGUUAUUUACCCAGUCAGAUAUAGAGGAGUUAUUUACCCAGUCAGAUAUAGAGGGGUUAUUUACCCAGUCAGAUAUAGUUAUUUACCCAGUCAGAUAUAGAGGAGUUAUUUACCCAGUCAGAUAUAGAGGGGUUAUUUACCCAGUCAGAUAUAGAGGGGUUAUUUACCCAGUCAGAUAUAGAGGGGUUAUUUACCCAGUCAGAUAUAGAGGAGUUAUUUACCCAGUCAGAUAUAGAGGAGUUAUUUACCCAGUCAGAUAUAGAGGAGUUAUUUACCCAGUCAGAUAUAGUUAUUUACCCAGUCAGAUAUAGAGGAGUUAUUUACCCAGUCAGAUAUAGAGGAGUUAUUUACCCAGUCAGAUAUAGAGGAGUUAUUUACCCAGUCAGAUAUAGAGGAGUUAUUUACCCAGUCAGAUAUAGAGGAGUUAUUUACCCAGUCAGAUAUAGAGGAGUUAUUUACCCAGUCAGAUAUAGAGGGGUUAUUUACCCAGUCAGAUAUAGAGGAGUUAUUUACCCAGUCAGAUAUAGAGGAGUUAUUUACCCAGUCAGAUAUAGAGGAGUUAUUUACCCAGUCAGAUAUAGAGGAGGUUAUUUAACCAGUCAGAUAUAGAGGGGUUAUUUACCCAGUCAGAUAUAGAGGAGGUUAUUUACCCAGUCAGAUAUAGAGGAGUUAUUUACCCAGUCAGAUAUAGAGGAGUUAUUUAUCCAGUCAGAUAUAGAGGAGUUAUUUACCCAGUCAGAUAUAGAGGGGUUAUUUACCCAGUCAGAUAUAGAGGAGUUAUUUACCCAGUCAGAUAUAGAGGGGUUAUUUACCCAGUCAGAUAUAGAGGGGUUAUUUACCCAGUCAGAUAUAGAGGGGCUAUUUACCCAGUCAGAUAUAGAGGAGGUUAUUUACCCAGUCAGAUAUAGAGGAGUUAUUUACCCAGUCUGAUAUAGAGGAGUUAUUUACCCAGUCAGAUAUAGAGGAGUUAUUUACCCAGUCAGAUAUAGAGGGGUUAUUUACCCAGUCAGAUAUAGAGGAGUUAUUUACCCAGUCAGAUAUAGAGGGGUUAUUUACCCAGUCAGAUAUAGAGGGGUUAUUUACCCAGUCAGAUAUAGUUAUUUACCCAGUCAGAUAUAGAGGAGUUAUUUACCCAGUCAGAUAUAGAGGGGUUAUUUACCCAGUCAGAUAUAGAGGAGUUAUUUACCCAGUCAGAUAUAGAGGGGUUAUUUACCCAGUCAGAUAUAGAGGAGUUAUUUACCCAGUCAGAUAUAGAGGAGUUAUUUACCCAGUCAGAUAUAGAGGAGUUAUUUACCCAGUCAGAUAGAGAGGAGUUAUUUACCCAGUCAGAUAUAGAGGAGUUAUUUACCCAGUCAGAUAUAGUUAUUUACCCAGUCAGAUAUAGAGGAGUUAUUUACCCAGUCAGAUAUAGAGGAGUUAUUUAACCAGUCAGAUAUAGAGGAGUUAUUUACCCAGUCAGAUAUAGAGGAGUUAUUUACCCAGUCAGAUAUAGAGGGGUUAUUUACCCAGUCAGAUAUAGAGGGGUUAUUUACCCAGUCAGAUAUAGAGGAGUUAUUUACCCAGUCAGAUAUAGAGGAGUUAUUUACCCAGUCAGAUAUAGAGGAGUUAUUUACCCAGUCAGAUAUAGAGGAGUUAUUUACCCAGUCAGAUAUAGUUAUUUACCCAGUCAGAUAUAGUUAUUUACCCAGUCAGAUAUAGAGGAGGUUAUUUACCCAGUCAGAUAUAGAGUUAUUUACCCAGUCAGAUAUAGAGGAGGUUAUUUACCCAGUCAGAUAUAGUGGAGUUAUUUACCCAGUCAGAUGUAGAGGAGUUAUUUACCCAGUCAGAUAUAGAGGAGUUAUUUACCCAGUCAGAUAUAGUUAUUUACCCAGUCAGAUAUAGUUAUUUACCCAGUCAGAUAUAGUUAUUUACCCAGUCAGAUAUAGAGGAGGUUAUUUACCCAGUCAGAUAUAGAGGUGUUAUUUACCCAGUCAGAUAUAGAGGAGUUAUUUACCCAGUCAGAUAUAGUUAUUUACCCAGUCAGAUAUAGAGGAGUUAUUUACCCAGUCAGAUAUAGAGGAGUUAUUUACCCAGUCAGAUAUAGAGGAGUUAUUUACCCAGUCAGAUAUAGAGGAGUUAUUUACCCAGUCAGAUAUAGAGGAGUUAUUUACCCAGUCAGAUAUAGAGGAGUUAUUUACCCAGUCAGAUAUAGAGGAGUUAUUUACCCAGUCAGAUAUAGAGGAGUUAUUUACCCAGUCAGAUAUAGAGGGGUUAUUUACCCAGUCAGAUAUAGAGGGGUUAUUUACCCAGUCAGAUAUAGAGGAGUUAUUUACCCAGUCAGAUAUAGAGGAGUUAUUUACCCAGUCAGAUAUAGAGGAGUUAUUUACCCAGUCAGAUAUAGAGGGGUUAUUUACCCAGUCAGAUAUAGAGGAGUUAUUUACCCAGUCAGAUAUAGAGGAGUUAUUUACCCAGUCAGAUAUAGUUAUUUACCCAGUCAGAUAUAGAGGGGUUAUUUACCCAGUCAGAUAUAGUUAUUUACCCAGUCAGAUAUAGAGGGGUUAUUUACCCAGUCAGAUAUAGUUAUUUACCCAGUCAGAUAUAGAGGGGUUAUUUACCCAGUCAGAUAUAGAGGAGUUAUUUACCCAGUCAGAUAUAGAGGAGUUAUUUACCCAGUCAGAUAUAGUUAUUUGCCCAGUCAGAUAUAGAGGGGUUAUUUACCCAGUCAGAUAUAGUUAUUUACCCAGUCAGAUAUAGAGGGGUUAUUUACCCAGUCAGAUAUAGAGGAGUUAUUUACCCAGUCAGAUAUAGUUAUUUACCCAGUCAGAUAUAGAGGAGGUUAUUUACCCAGUCAGAUAUAGAGGAG